AAGUGCAGGGGAUCGUAAGACCUCGCGCUAUUGGAGCGGCCGAUGUCCGAUUAGCUAGUUGGUGGGGUAAUGGCCUACCAAGGCGACGAUCGGUAGCUGGUCUGAGAGGAUGAUCAGCCACACUGGGACUGAGACACGGCCCAGACUCCUACGGGAGGCAGCAGUGGGGAAUUUUGGACAAUGGGCGAAAGCCUGAUCCAGCCAUGCCGCGUGAGUGAAGAAGGCCUUCGGGUUGUAAAGCUCUUUCGGCCGGAACGAAAUCGUCCGGGCUAAUACCCCGGAUGGAUGACGGUACCGGAAGAAGAAGCACCGGCUAACUACGUGCCAGCAGCCGCGGUAAUACGUAGGGUGCAGGCGUUAAUCGGAAUUACUGGGCGUAAAGCGUGCGCAGGCGGCUUCCUAAGUCAGAUGUGAAAUCCCCGGGCUUAACCUGGGAACUGCGUUUGAAACUACAAAGC
rnacentral:rRNA from 1 species